AUCCCUGUAGCUCAGCUGGACAGAGCGCGCCGCUACGAACGGCGAGGUCCCAGGUUCAAGUCCUGGCAGGGAUG
rnacentral:tRNA from 2 species